CUACUCUACAUGUGAGCCUGUCUCGUGUCUGUGUCGUCCAGGUAAAUGUCUCCAGCCCUGCAGAAAUGGAGGGAAAUGCACUGGGAAAAACAAAUGCAAAUGUGACAAGGGUUUCCACGGUGACCUGUGUUCCAAGGCUGUCUGUGAGCCCAGCUGUGGAGCCCACGGGACCUGUGUGGAACCUAACAAGUGCCUGUGUAAGGAGGGCUGGCACGGACGCCACUGUAACAAGAGAUACAGAGGAGGUGCCCCUAACACCCAUCGUCUCUCAUCAGGCCCUAAACACAAGCCUCAGCAGCCCUCCUCCUCUGCCAAGGAGGUGAAAGACGUCCCCGAUGCCGACAUCCCAGCAGAGACCAAUUACGUGGUAUAAGAGCUGGGUCCAGACAACGACACCUGGGUUCAAGCACUAUUCAACAUCUUUCAGAUACUUUCAGCGUCUGCUCGAGUCCGAUUGGCAGUGCCUGGUGGGCGGGGCCUGGUGUGCGGGGUCUGAUGGGUUGGGUUUGAUGAGAGGGGUUUUUGAUGGGGGGAUUUUGCGGUUUUAGGACUGUGCUACUGGUCUGUUAAACCAGGCAAACUCAGUCAACAAUAUAUUAAGCAUGUUGAACUAUUUGAAGUACUAUUUGAACCCAAGUCUGCAGAUAACCCCACCAGUCCCCCAGCACCUCCUCCUCUCCUCUGUGGUAGACUACUUAUACCCAUACGUGAUGUUAUACACCAGUCCCCCAGCACCUCCUCCUCUCCUCUGUGGUAGACUACUUAUACCCAUACGUGAUGUUAUACACCAGUCCCCCAGCACCUCCUCCUCUCCUCUGUGGUAGACUACUUAUACCCAUACGUGAUGUUAUACACCAGUCCCCCAGCACCUCCUCCUCUCCUCUGUGGUAGACUACUUAUACCCAUACGUGAUGUUAUACACCAGUCCCCCAGCACCUCCUCCUCUCCUCUGUGGUAGACUACUUAUACCCAUACGUGAUGUUAUACACCAGUCCCCCAGCACCUCCUCCUCUCCUCUGUGGUAGACUACUUAUACCCAUACGUGAUAUUAUACACCAUUAUUACCACACCUACCUAUCCUCAGCCCCUCCCACUACCUAGCUACCUUAGAUAGCUAUCCUCAGCCCCUCCCACUGCCUAGCUACCUUAGAUACCUAUCCUCAGCCCCUCCCACUACCUAGAUACCUAUCCUCAUCCCCUCCCACUACCUAGAUACCUAUCCUCAUCCCCUCCCACUACCUAGAUACCUACCCCCAU